UACGUAGGCAGCAAGCGUUGUUCGGAGUUACUGGGCGUAAAGGGUGUGUAGGCGGUUGCUUAAGUUUGGUGUGAAAUCUCCCGGCUCAACUGGGAGGGUGCGCCCGAAUACUGAGUGACUCGAGUGCGGGAGAGGAAAGUGGAAUUCCUGGUGUAGCGGUGAAAUGCGUAGAUAUCAGGAGGAACACCGGUGGUGUAGACGGCUUUCUGGACCGUAACUGACGCUGAAACACGAAAGCGUGGGUAGCAAACAGG
rnacentral:rRNA from 1 species